AGCUGAUAAUACGGUCAAUUAGCAGCUAAGCGCUGAGUGCAUUUGUCAUUUUACACUCUUCGCUUGUUUUCUUGGUGGCGUUGAGAACGUGGACGUCUCUCCCUCCCUGUCCUCUCCCGAUUCCCGCCGCCUGUCUGUUCGGAGUACGGUAACAGCUCUUAUAAAUGUUUCAAUUGCCUGGAACCAGUAGGCCAAUCGUUGUUUCUACGGGCAUUGACUUCAGUGAUUGUGCUCCAGUGGCUAACUCUCAGAUAUUGCUAAUGCGUCGCUGCAAAUUGGGUUCUGAAGGCUCGGAUUCUGCCGUUUUCGGCUCUGAGUGCGCGGACGCUAAUGGAGGGGCCAGGAAGCAGUGCGAAGACAGCUGAAGGCAUUGCUUUGUACCCGACUCUGCAUAUUUACGCUGUCUGCUUAAUCCACAGCCUCCAAGCCCGAGUCAUUCAAUAGCAUGCUGUUAACUCGUUUUGUCAAUUUACAAAGGUUAGGAUGUUUGUUUUCCAUACGCCGGCUGAAUUGAUUUCAAUUAAAGCUUGAUUGGAGUUUAAUUAAGGAAAAUACCGUGUUUUGUUUUUAUGGGUUUCUGAUUUAUAGCUUGUGAUGAAUCUCUACUCUGUUCAGCAGAGGGUAUUUUCUUUGUUUCUUCUUGGGUAUA